rnacentral:misc_RNA from 1 species
GAGUUCGCGGGAGAGUAAGUUAUUGCCAGGGUUUUUAUUUUAUACUUUAAACCUUGAAUUUAUUUUUUAAAUGUUUAUAUUAUUUGAAUAAAACUAUUCAAAUAAUAUAAAAAAUAAUAUAUAUAUUGACAUGGAUUAAACAAAGAUAUAUAUUAUUUUAUGUUGUAUAAACAAAUUGGCAAAAUAGAGAUGGAAGAUAAAAAUAUGGUCAAAGUAAUAAGAGUCUAUGGUGAAUGCC